rnacentral:rRNA from 1 species
UGGGGACUAUUGCACAAUGGGCGCAAGCCUGAUGCAGCCAUGCCGCGUGUAUGAAGAAGGCCUUCGGGUUGUAAAGUCCUUUCAGCGGGGAGGAAGGUGUUGAGGUUAAUCACCUCAGCAAUUGACGUUACCCGCAGAAGCAGCACCGGCUAACUCCGUGCCAGCAGCCGCGGUAAUACGGAGGGUGCAAGCGUUAAUCGGAAUUACUGGGCGUAAAGCGCACGCAGGCGGUCUGUCAAGUCGGAUGUGAAAUCCCCGGGCUCAACCUGGGAACUGCAUUCGAAACUGGCAGGCUAGAGUCUUGUAGAGGGGGGUAGAAUUCCAGGUGUAGCGGUGAAAUGCGUAGAGAUCUGGAGGAAUACCGGUGGCGAAGGCGGCCCCCUGGACAAAGACUGACGCUCAGGUGCGAAAGCGUGGGGAGCAAACA